rnacentral:rRNA from 1 species
UACAGAGGGUGCAAGCGUUAAUCGGAAUUACUGGGCGUAAAGCGUGCGCAGGCGGUUAUGUAAGACAGGUGUGAAAUCCCCGGGCUUAACCUGGGAACUGCAUUUGUGACUGCAUAGCUAGAGUACGGUAGAGGGGGAUGGAAUUCCGCGUGUAGCAGUGAAAUGCGUAGAUAUCCGGAGGAACACCAGUGGCGAAAGCGGCCACCUGGACUGUACCUGACGCUCAAACAC